rnacentral:rRNA from 1 species
GCGAGGCCGAAAGGCGUAGUCGAUGGGAAACAGGUUAAUAUUCCUGUACUUGGUGUUACUGCGAAGGGGGGACGGAGAAGGCUAUGUUAGCCGGGCGACGGUUGUCCCGGUUUAAGCAUGUAGGCUGGUUAUCCAGGCAAAUCCGGAUAAUCAAGGCUGAGGUGUGAUGACGAGGCACUACGGUGCUGAAGUAACAAAUGCCCUGCUUCCAGGAAAAGCCUCUAAGCAUCAGGUAACAUCAAAUCGUACCCCAAACCG